rnacentral:lncRNA from 12 species
AUAUUUUUAUUAUCACUAUGGAAACGUUUUAAAAAUUCUUCCUUUCAUACUACAUUACAAUCAUCUGAAUAUGAAAUAUCUAGUGCAAUAAUGACUGAUAACCACCAUGAUACCAGGGAUUGAAAUGGCCAAGUUACGAAGUAAUAUAGAUAGGUUUGUGAGAGACAACAGCCAAGUGCUACAGAAGUGACUUAACCUACAUCUGAGAAAAGCUGCUGUUAAAAAUCAUGCUGCAAUAAGUAAUAAGACCUUUUCAAUGACUCAGAAUAUUCAAAAUUCAUUGAAGUUAUAGAGGGAUCAUCCAACAAACCAAGUGCCAACUCUGCCUAAAGGAAACAGCUUAACUCCUGCAUGGUUCUCAAUGGUUUAGCAACUGUCUUUAACUCUCAGGAGCUGCCUCAGGGAUAGGCUAAAUUAAACAAAGUAAAAAUUAAAAAUAAAAUCAUUGCUGCAAACUUCA